GCGCCCGUAGCUCAAUCGGAUAGAGUGACUGGCUUCGAACCAGUAGGUUGGGGGUUCGAUUCCCUCCGGGCGCG
rnacentral:tRNA from 1 species